rnacentral:rRNA from 1 species
GAUGAACGCUGGCGGCGUGCCUAAUACAUGCAAGUCGAGCGAAUGGAUUAAGAGCUUGCUCUUAUGAAGUUAGCGGCGGACGGGUGAGUAACACGUGGGUAACCUGCCCAUAAGACUGGGAUAACUCCGGGAAACCGGGGCUAAUACCGGAUAACAUUUUGAACCGCAUGGUUCGAAAUUGAAAGGCGGCUUCGGCUGUCACUUAUGGAUGGACCCGCGUCGCAUUAGCUAGUUGGUGAGGUAACGGCUCACCAAGGCAACGAUGCGUAGCCGACCGGAGAGGGGGAUCGGCCACACUGGGACGGAGACACGGCCCAGACUCCUACGGGAGGCAGCAGUAGGGAAUCUUCCGCAAUGGACGAAAGUCUGACGGAGCAACGCCGCGUGAGUGAUGAAGGCUUUCGGGUCGUAAAACUCUGUUGUUAGGGAAGAACAAGUGCUAGUUGAAUAAGCUGACACCUAGACGGUACCUAACCAGAAAGCCACGGCUAACUACGUGCCAGCAGCCGCGGUAA